rnacentral:misc_RNA from 1 species
GUUCUUCCUCUCCUUUUUUCCCUCCCCUUUCUCCCUUUGGUAUUCCGAAGGGCAUGCCUGUCUGAGCGUCAAUAAUAAAAUCAAACCUAGGUUUGGUAUUGGGAGAAGUGGCAAUGCCUCUCUCCUUUAAGCUAUUGGCGACACUAUUUCAGCUUGUAAGACGUAGUAAGUAAUUUCUCGUUAAAGCUUCUGGAUAUAGAUGUCUGCCAACUGAAUAUUUUAUUUUAGCACUUGACCUCAGAUCAGGUAGGGAUACCCCCGGAACUUAAG